UACGUAGGUCCCGAGCGUUGUCCGGAUUUAUUGGGCGUAAAGCGAGCGCAGGUGGUUUAAUAAGUCUGAUGUAAAAGGCAGUGGCUCAACCAUUGUGUGCAUUGGAAACUGUUAGACUUGAGUGCAGUAGAGGAGAGUGGAAUUCCAUGUGUAGCGGUGAAAUGCGUAGAUAUAUGGAGGAACACCGGUGGCGAAAGCGGCUCUCUGGACCGUAACUGACACUGAGGCUCGAAAGCGUGGGUAGCAAACAGG
rnacentral:rRNA from 1 species